GCCCCCCUGGCCCAAUGGCUAGGGCAUCAGACUUCUAACUCAAUCAGAGUAGGUAUCUGGGGAUUGCGGGUUCGAGUCCCGCGGGGGGUU